AUCUUCCUCUUCGCCUAUGAUUCUGUUUCUUACUGAAAUAUUUUGUGGCUGUUGAUUUGUUGAUUUCUCUCAUGGUCCCAAUGACUGAGUAUUUCAGUGUGCGGCGAAGGAAGCUUCAAUUAGGUCUUCUCAGUGAUCUUAAACGCUUUCCGUUGACAAUGCCAUGUUUCCCUAGCUAGGAAAGUUGUGAGUUUGUGUGUUCCUUCUCAUACUUCAAAGUUACAUGUCAAUUGAAAACACUUGCGUGAAUGGCUUGUUUUAUUUGAGUUAAAUUUUCUUGACUUGUUCCUACUUAUUCUCAUAGCACAGUUUGUUUGAUGAUACACUACAGAACUGGGACCACAACCACGACAAGAAGCAUAUGCUUAAGUGAUGUGGAGGAGAUCACAUAAGAAGGAAGACAGAUGAGACAGAGAGAAGACAUAUGCGAUUGAUGAGUUUUGUGAUGUUGCAGGGAUUGAUGAAGAAGUUGACGAACUUCCAAAGAAAAUGGUCGAUCAUGAUUACGUGGAGUAUAACAACUCUUCCAUAACGAGUUCCUGUCAGGCUCACUCUCCAUGGCUCUCUGCUUAACAUCAUUUCCCCUUUAUAAGUCUGGUGCAAGAAGCUUGACGUCAGAGAAGGCAAGGCGUCGUGCUGUGGAGAUGCGAAUCGUGGUGUGGUGCAGCACUAGGAGAUAGAUCUUUAGGUUCUAAAAUUUUAGGUGUAGCUUUGGAAGGUGAAGAACACUUGGCAUCAGAUAGAUCUUCAAGACACUUGUACUCCACUAUUAUCAUCUUGGUGGUCAUGGCGAUGAUAGUGAAGACUUAGCUUUAGGUUUAGCUAUAGGUUUAUGUUUUGGUUUAGUUAUGGUUUAGAUUUUUGGUUUUGUUUUUGGUUAUUUAGUAAACAAUUUCGAUAUAUACAAUUUUAAAAUAUUUUUUA